UACGUAGGGUGCGAGCGUUGUCCGGAAUUAUUGGGCGUAAAGGGCUCGUAGGCGGUUUGUCGCGUCGGGAGUGAAAACUCAGGGCUUAACCCUGAGCCUGCUUCCGAUACGGGCAGACUAGAGGUAUGCAGGGGAGAACGGAAUUCCUGGUGUAGCGGUGAAAUGCGGCAGAUAUCAGGAGGAACACCGGUGGCGAAGGCGGUUCUCUGGGC
rnacentral:rRNA from 1 species